AUUGAACGCUGGCGGCAGGCCUAACACAUGCAAGUCGAGCGAGCGGCGGACGGGUGAGUAAUGAAUGGGGAUCUGCUCGACCGAGGGGGGUAAAUACUGGAUACGGUGGAUAAUACCUACUACUGUCGGAUGAACCCAUAGGGGAUUAGCUAGUUGGUAAGGUAAUGGCUUACCUAGGCGACGAUCCCUAGCUGGUCUGAGAGGAUGAUCAGCCACACUGGGACUGAGACACGGCCCAGACUCCUACGGGAGGCAGCAGUGGGGAAUAUUGCACAAUGGGCGCAAGCCUGAUGCAGCCAUGCCGCGUGUAUGAAGAAGGCCCUAGGGUUGUAAAGUACUUUCAGUGGGGAGGCGUUACCGGCAGAAGAAGCACCGGCUAACUCCGUGCCAGCAGCCGCGGUAAUAC
rnacentral:rRNA from 1 species